rnacentral:rRNA from 1 species
CUGCUGCCUUCCGUAGGAGUCUGGGCCGUGUCUCAGUCCCAAUGUGGCCGGCCAACCUCUCAGUCCGGCUACUGAUCGUCGCCUUGGUGGGCCGUUACCCCGCCAACUAGCUAAUCAGACGCGAGUCCAUCUCAGAGCGAUAAAUCUUUGAUGCCCAGUGCCAUGCGACACAGACAUAUUANGCGGUAUUAGCAGCUGUUUCCAACUGUUAUUCCCCACUCCAAGGCAGGUUA